rnacentral:rRNA from 1 species
UACAGAGGGGCUAGCGUUGUUCGGAAUUACUGGGCGUAAAGGGCGCGUAGGUGGCCUGUUAAGUCGAACGUGAAAUCCCCGGGCUCAACCCGGGAACUGCGUCCGAGACUGGCAGGCUCGAAUCCGGGAGAGGGAUGUGGAAUUCCAGGUGUAGCGGUGAAAUGCGUAGAUAUCAGGAGGAACACCUGUGGUGUAGACAGCUUACUGGACCACUUCUGACGCUGAGACACGAAAGCGUGGGUAGCAAACAGG